UGUUGUCCCUAAGCCUGAGUGCCUGAGC
rnacentral:piRNA from 1 species